rnacentral:rRNA from 1 species
GAUGAACGCUGGCGGCGUGCCUAAUACAUGCAAGUCGAGCGAACAGACGAGGAGCUUGCUCCUCUGACGUUAGCGGCGGACGGGUGAGUAACACGUGGAUAACCUACCUAUAAGACUGGGAUAACUUCGGGAAACCGGAGCUAAUACCGUAUAAUAUAUUGAACCGCAUGGUUCAAUAGUGAAAGACGGUUUUGCUGUCACUUAUAGAUGGAUCCGCGCCGCAUUAGCUAGUUGGUAAGGUAACGGCUUACCAAGGCAACGAUGCGUAGCCGACCUGAGAGGGUGAUCGGCCACACUGGAACUGAGACACGGUCCAGACUCCUACGGGAGGCAGCAGUAGGGAAUCUUACGCAAUGGGCGAAAGCAUGACGGAGCAAGGCCGCGUGAGUGAUGAAGGUCUUCGGAUCGUAAAACUCUGUUAUUAGGGAAGAACAAAUGUGUAAGUAACUAUGCACGUCUUGACGGUACCUAAUCAGAAAGCAACGGCUAACUACGUG